rnacentral:lncRNA from 1 species
UGGCACAGUGUGGAGGCACCCUCCCAAGCCCCUGAGCCACUGCGAUGUAGUGGCUGGGAACACUGACCCUGGAGCCAGACUGCCCUUAUGGAAUGUCUGUGUGACCUCGAGUAGUUUAUUCAGCUUCUCUGUGCCUCAAUGUCCUCACCUGUAAAAUACUCACUAAGGGAGCCCCAAGGAAAGAACUUCGGUGAGCAAGACUUGAGGAAGAGGGCGUUAGGCCGCUGUGGUCCAGGACACGUCAGUUACAUGUGAAUCCCUUCUGGCAAUUCAGCAAUAGCCAUUGUAACUUUCAGACCACAUGGAAAUUUUCCACUUGGAAAUUCACACGUUGUUUCCUCUUGGUUUAUCAGUAGGCAGAAGUUAUGUUCAAUCAACUUAUCAUCUAGACUCAGCCACGAGCUUACUGUGUGUCCUGAUCCAUUGCUUAGCAAUCGUUCCCUCUUGGAUCAUGAGAGGUGGAUGUUGCCUGAGCUGCCCGGCUGCUGCUCCUUACGCAUGGAUCGUGACGAUCUGGAGAGGAGAAGCUGCCAGUCUAGAAAACUCUGCUCUUGCCUGCUAAACCAAGGAACACAUAGUGCUGACAGCUUUGAAUCGCCUUGCAGGCAUGAAAGUAGAAGUUAAGUCAGGCCUGACACUAAAAGCUGCUUUUUCCAGCAGGGAAAGCCCCUCUUGUAUAAUUACUGAAGCCAGAAGUUGUUUAAAUAGGAAAAACUUGUUUGGGUUGUUUCUUGAUUUUUGUCGGUUUGUUGCUGAGAUGGCUUUAUAUUUCUUUGGGAAACAUUUCAGUCCCCUCUUGAUAGCUGAAUUUGAAUACAUUUUUUUCAAAGCGAUGAGUUAAUGCCCCAUGUUGUUUAUAAUUAUAAGGAUCAAUGGCUGCCCUAGGCCCCCAUAAUGCCAGGGGUCCCUUUAUUGAGGAAAAGAAAACAGAAAAUCAAGCCACUUUGCCUGGAGGGCUACCACAGGCUACUGGUUUGAGAGAGGUUUUCACUCUCUAAUGAGUGUAAUAUUAAAAUUAGGUGAGUUCAGGAGGUUUUAUUUUUGAAGUAUUUGAACUAUGUAUAUGGGCAUCUGCAAAUGCCAAUCAUAUGACUUUCGAGGCCACAAUGCAUUGUUUGUGCUCACACAUAUGCUGACAGCAUUUGUUUUAUGCACCUGCUUCUUCUCCAGUCCCAGUUUCCUUCGAUCUUUUGAUUUUGUUUUAAUGUGCAGGCGUUUGCUGAAGUGUAACCACUCAGAGAGCAUCUGGGCUCGCAUGGGUUUUAAAACUGAAUCCACAUUUUAAUGGUUUCUCACCUCUCCAUCUGGAUUAGAAAAAAAAAAAAGAAUCCAUCAUAGUAACCAAUAUUAAUAGUUUUUCACAUUCCAAAGUGCUUACAUUUGCUCCUUGGUUAUAAUCCUCAAUUUGGAGUUUGGCUCCCUGCUUUGUCACAGAUUCCCACAGGCCUUACAAUAAUGGUUAACAUUUGCAUAGCACUUUUUAGAGCCUCUUUCAAUCAUUAAUUAAUUCAUUCAUAAGAUGUCUUUUCACGAUUUUCAUUUGAUGCAUUCAUAAGCAAAAUGGGCCAAGCAGAGGUUAAAUGACUGGGCCAGGGCCACCUGGGGAUUUGGUUAAGUCCUUUCAUUCAUUUUUGGGAAUUCCCAGGAAGAAAGAGACAUUUUAAUUCCAGGGAGCAGCAAAAUCUGCAACUUCAGUAUGAACUUGGACAAUCUGAGGAGCUAGUUGUUCUGGGGGGAGUGUUAGAUUUUCAAGUAGAAAUGAGAUUGCUGUGACUUCUUAGGGACAUGGUGACCUCCCUGAUCCACACAGGCUCAGGCCAAGCCUUGGAACAGAGCUGAGGUGUCCAAACUUCUCUUGGUGAGAAGCUACUUCUUGAAAUCUAAGAAGUAUUGCCCAGGAAGGAACUGGGAUGCUGAUGGUACAGAAGAAGACAGGACAAAAAAGGCUUUGGGGAGUUCCCAUCCUGGCACAGUGGUUAACGAAUCCGACUACAAACCAUGAGGUUGAGGGUUCGAUCCCUGCCCUUGCUCAGUGGGUUAAGGAUCCAGCAUUGCCGUGAGCUGGGGUGUAGGUUGCAGAUACGGCUCGGAUCUGCGUUGCUGUGGCUCUGGUAUAGGCCAGUGGCUACAGCUCCGAUUAGACCCUUAACCUGGGAACCUCCAUAUGCCGCAGGAGCGGCCCAAGAAAUGGCAAGAAGACAAUAAAUAAAUAAAUAAAUAAAUAAAUAAAUAAACAAUCCAAUUGAAAAAUGGGCAAAAGACAUGAAUAGACAUUUCUCCAAAGAAGACAUACAGACAGCCAACAGGUGCAU